GGUGGUCGAGAGAGCAGGUGGAGAGGAGGAGAAGCGAGAAGGCGCAGCGGUGUGGCGCCCGGACGAUCGGGGCGCACCGGCUGCGCUUUCGCCCACGUCGGCUGGGCCGGGGUGUGUGUGUGUGUGUGUGUGUCUUCCGUGGGGCUGUCUCAGAAGGGACAAAUCAAGUUACGUCUACAUAGUUGAUCAGAAGGAAGGGCUCAGAAUUGACUGCUUCCCACCGAGCACUAAACCUUAAAUGAAGGGAAAACAGUUUACGAUCGAGUUCAAGAUAACAGCAUAAUGCAAACAAUAAACAGCCUAAACUAAAACCGUUAGACUCAACAAGGAAAAAAAUGUAGCCUGCUAAGUCCCAUCAGCAGUAUUAAAAACUGUAAAAUUCCCAUAGAGGCCAAUUAGUUGCUUUGAGAAGAGCACAAGGGUGUAAUAACAUUUCUUCUGUAUGCGUUCGCUUGCUAUCAGUAUUCAAAGGCAGAUUGUCUUAGGUGGCAGAUGCUAGUAUAGAGCCAUUCUGAUUUGUGGUGCCCAUUGUAAGGUAUAGUUUAAAAUCAGGGUUUUUCAACUUCUGCAAGUUUAAGAUGGUGGACUUCAAGUCCCAGAAUACCUCUAGCUAUUAUGGGGAAAUUGAGCCACUGGGAGUUGAAGUCCUCCCAACGUAAACACGCAAAAGUUGAGAAGCACUGGUUUAAAUCACAAAUGAACUAAAAAGCUUGUGUUCCUACCGUAUACUAAAUCAGGCUCAUCCCUGCCUCCAGGGGUGCUGUUCAGCAGGUUCUGACAGGUUCUGGAGAACCGGCUGCGGAAAUUUUGAGUAGUUUGGAGAACCGGCAAAUACCACCUCUGGCUGGCCCCAGGGUGGGGUGGGAAUGGAGAUUUCGCAGAAUCCUUCCCCUUCCAUGCCCACCAAGCCAUGCCCUCCCAGCCACACCCACAGAACCGGUAGUAAGAAAAUUUGAAUUCUACCACUGCCUCCCUCCCUCUAAAAUUAGCCAAGCUUAAUGAGUUGAGUGGUUAAUGUAGGCCUCAGGGCUUUUAGUAACCUUAUGAAGCUUGGUGGGCAAAUACAACUGUCUAGCCAUUAGCAUCCUAGUGAGGGAUCCUUGCUGCUUAGUUGGGUUUUUUUGCAGACAUUUCAUGACCCAAGCUAGGCAACUGUCAGGGUUCCAAGUAAUAGACUUGGAAACAAAACUCUGAGGCAGGUAGAUUCCUCAAAGAAUAGCUUUAUUGGAUAUAUCGUAUUGGCACAGAUCUGGUAAAAACCAACUCUGGAGAUUCCCGCGGUUUUCACCUACUUAAAAGUAAAAGUUUCACUUUCUCAAAACAAUCAGUCACAUGGUCCAAUCACAGUGCUGUCUGGUUGCCUGGUGACAUCACUCCACCUUCCUCUGACCAGGUGUGACAAUGUCCUUGGUUCCCAAGAGAAAGUUUGGCUACAAAGUCCCAGCUAUCUAAAAUCCCCCCCUUCCUCCCUAUCCCUCAGCUCUGGUGUGGCAACACCGAAGCUUCCAAGGUGGCUUCGGUCAGCUCAGCUUCAGGAUUGACAGUAACAUCAUCAGUGCUAGUGAUGUUGUUGUUGAAGAUGUUGUUACCUACUUUGGGUCAUGAAAUAUCUGCAAGAAAACAACCAAGCUCAGAAAGCACCAAGGAUUUCAACCUCAUUUCAAUCCUGAGCUACAAAUGUUCUCCUUUAUUGGUAGCAUCUUAGGGUCUGUAUUGCAAAAGGAUUUAACUGUA